rnacentral:tRNA from 1 species
AAAUGGAUAAAAACGGGCAAAAUCUGCCUUACAAGCAGAGGGUCGGCGGUUCGAAUCCGUCAACGCCCA